rnacentral:rRNA from 1 species
CCCUUAGAUGUCCUGGGCCGCACGCGCGCUACACUGAGUGUCUGAGAUACGAGUCUGCCUGGUCCGGCAAGGUCUAGGUAAUCGCUAAAAGACACAUCAUGCUUGGGAUAGAUUAUUGCAAAUAUUAAUCUUGAACGAGGAAUUCCUAGUAAGCGCGAGUCAACAGCUUGCGUUGAUUACGUCCCUGCCCUUUGUACACACCGCCCGUCGCUACUACUGAUUGGAUGUUUAAGCGAGGUUCUCGAACUGCUAGCGACUUAGCUUCGGUGAGGUCGCAGUGUGGGAAGUGAACCUAGCUUUGGUGUCUAGAGGAAGUAAAAGCCGUAACA